AUACGGAGGGUGCAAGCGUUAAUCGGAAUUACUGGGCGUAAAGCGCGCGUAGGCGGAUAUUUAAGUCUCAUGUGAAAGCCCUGGGCUCAACCUGGGAACUGCAUGGGAUACUGGGUAUCUAGAAUACAGUAGAGGGUAGUGGAAUUUCAGGUGUAGCGGUGAAAUGCGUAGAGAUCUGAAGGAACAUCAGUGGCGAAGGCGACUACCUGGACUGAUAUUGACGCUGAGGUGCGAAAGCGUGGGGAGCAAACGGGAUUAGAAACCCCGUAGUCC
rnacentral:rRNA from 1 species